GACGAACGCUGGCGGCGUGCUUAACACAUGCCAGUCGAACGGAAAGGCCCUGCUUUUGUGGGGUGCUCGAGUGGCGAACGGGUGAGUAACACGUGAGUAACCUGCCCUUGACUUUGGGAUAACUUCAGGAAACUGGGGCUAAUACCGGAUAGGAGCUCCUGCUGCAUGGUGGGGGUUGGAAAGUUUCGGCGGUUGGGGAUGGACUCGCGGCUUAUCAGCUUGUUGGUGGGGUAGUGGCUUACCAAGGCUUUGACGGGUAGCCGGCCUGGGAGGGUGACCGGCCACAUUGGGACUGAGAUACGGCCCAGACUCCUACGGGAGGCAGCGGUGGGGAAUAUUGCACAAUGGGCGGAAGCCUGAUGCAGCAACGCCGCGUGCGGGAUGACGGCCUUCGGGUUGUAAACCGCUUUCGCCUGUGACGAAGCGUGAGUGACGGUAAUGGGUAAAGAAGCACCGGCUAACUACGUG
rnacentral:rRNA from 1 species